GGAGCCUCCUUUCUCAUUCAAUGGUCAUGUUCCAUUAAUAUGAGCUUAGAUGAACUAAGGAUGUUGUUGAUAUAAGAAAAUCAAACACAGAGACGUAAAAUGUUAAGUGUUUGCUGUGGGGCAUUGUGGGUCUUGCCCCAGAUCCUGAUUUCCUGAUCACUCCAGAACUGAUGCCCUACCCAAUAAUACUGAUUGUGUACAUAGCUGAAAUGAUUCAGCUUAUCAGUGAUUCUAUGUGCCCAGGGACUAAGAAACUGAAGAACUGAAGGAUACUCCCAGGAUACCACAGCCCACAGCUGCCUCCGGGGACCAGAAUACAAGACUAGAGCAGCACUGUUGCGAGUUCUGGGCAGAUCCAGCUUUCCCCUCAGGAGUUGUAAAUUCCUAAAUCAAGUGCCUCUGUGUUCUGGUCACAAUGUGGUAAUAGGAAGUAGCCAGACUCCACCUCUGCCAAGCUGUCCCCUCACUCCUGCACUUGUAUCAAGUACAUCAUCAUGGAGCAUGGGAAGUGGCUUUCCAAUCAUCCUCUAUGGGCUAGACAACACAACCUGGAAGUUCAACUGGGUCAACUCUCUCUGUAACCUUGACCAAAGAGAAUCAGAAAUGGAAGGAAACUGGACAUAUACAUACAGUCUUUUGUCCUCAAUUUUAACUGCUUCAAAAUG